rnacentral:lncRNA from 1 species
CAGAGUCUUGCUGUGUUGCCCAGGCCAGAGUGCAAUGGCAUGAUCUCAGCUAACUGCAACCUCCACUUCCUGAGUUCAAGUGAUUCUCGUGCCUCAGCCUCCUGAGAAGCUGAGAUUACAGACGCAUGUAACAUUUGGUGCUGAAACCCAAGACAGGGGACUCCUUCAGAAGACCAGCCCCCUGUCCUCACCCUCAGUCCGGGAGGAGAUCCACCUACGACCUCGGGUCCUCAGACCAGCCCAAGGAACAUCUCACCAAUUUCAAAUUGGGACCCCACUGGAAGUCGGACCAUCCAACUUGGAUUACAGCUGCUCCUAGACCUACUGGAGCAAAAAGCUAAGGCUCCUGGCUGAUUCCUUCCCAGAUCUCCUCGGCUUAGUGGCUAAAGACUGACGCUGCCAAAUCAUCUCGGAAGCCCCCUGGACCAUCACGGAUGCCGAGCUUCGGAUAACUCCUACAGUGGAGGAUGGCCUGGAGCAACUGAAGAACCACAAAAGAAGUGAAACAGCCAGUUCCUGCCUUAACUGAUGACAUUCCACCAUUGUGAUUUGUUCCUGCCCCACCCUAACUAAUCAAUCGACCUUGUGACAUUCCUCCCCUGGACAAUGAGUCUCAUGAUCUCCCCACCCUGCACCUUGUGUCCCCCAUCCCUGCCUGUAAGAGAUAACCACCUUUAACUGUAAUUUUCCACUACCUACCCAAAUCCUAUAAAACUGCCCCACCCCUAUUUCCCUUUGCUGACUCCUUUUUCGGACUCAGCCCACCUGCACCCAAGUGAAUAAACAGCCUCAUUGCUCACACA